GUGGGUGUAGCUCAGUUGGUUAGAGUACCAGACUGUGACUCUGGGUGUCGCGGGUUCGAUCCCCGUCACCCACCCCA
rnacentral:tRNA from 1 species